CAGCUCUGAAGGCUGUGAGACCCCUGAUUUCCCACUUCACACCUCUAUAUUUGUGUGUGUGUGUGUGUUUAAUUCCUCCAGCGCCGCUGGGUUAGAGUCUCCCCGACUGAGCUGGUCACGGCAAGUGGCGUCCAUUGUGGGGGCUCAAAUCCAGGUUGAAGGGUUGCCAGAGUGACGGUUGGAGAACGUGGAGAACUAAGCUGGAGGACACCCGAGUACUCUUAAAGCAAUCCCCAUGGCCAAAAUCAACAGCCGAUUUGGAUACCAUCAAGACACCUGAAACCUUAUCAUGAGCCAGAUGCCAAGGAAGAGAUUCCAGGAGGAUCCCAAGGACCCCCUGUUGCAGCCGUGUUGAGGCUGAUGCUCAGGAGGACCCCAACUGUCACAAGCAACACCUGUUGAACACAACCACCCACCGGAGGACAGAUCAAGAAGCUGUCACAGAUGGCAGAAGAAAACCUAAGGAAAGCGAGACAGCCAGUCACAAUGAGUAAUUUAAUAGUAGCUACGAUAGUGAUGAUCACCAUUGCCUCUGCAGAUGCGGAUCCUGACUCCUAUGAGAAGUAGCUCACCGUGACAAAGGUGCCUUUGCUUUUAUCAAUUUGCAAAUCAAAAAAGGGGGACAUGUUGGGAACAGCCCCCCCACCCCAAAAAAAAACAUGGCCAUAAACUGGCCCCAAAACUGGCCAUAAACAAAAUC
rnacentral:lncRNA from 1 species